AGUCCUGCAAAGCAAUCCGGCUCGAUCUCCUCCGGCCGCCAGCGAGUCAUUUGCGCCGCUUUCAUCUGAUUGACGCUUCAGGGCUUUUUUUUUCCUAAUUGAGUUAGACGUUUCUGAAUUACGCAUUUGGGUCCACGCAUCAUCCUUCCUUCAAGUUGGAUAUUCUGUGUUUCAUGUAUUUCCGCUUGUGCUUAGCCCGAGGGCAAUACUUUUCUCGAGUGCUGUUAUUUUAGGUUUUACUUUGGAAAACGGACAAUGCAGGUACUGUAGGUGUCACUUUGGAUUUUUACUAUUUUGUGGUAAGUAUGGAGUCGCCAUUUAUUUUCUAAAAAAAACCUUCCAUUUUAUGACGGUAGGAAAUUAUCUGACGGGCAGCGUGAUGAUGAUAAUUUUAGGUGUGUGUGUGUGCGCGCGCGCGCGAGCGUGUGUGUGUGUGCACGCCUCGCAAAAAUCAGACAUGCACAAAUAUAAAUGUUCACAUUAAUACUGUUGCCUCAAGUCUUCGGCCGGGAUUGAACAACUCACAAGAAGUAUCGCAGUGAAUUGAACGGUUUUAGUUGUAGUUUCCGCAUUUCGCAUUUGCGGGGUUUUCAGUAAACAUAACAGUUCUAUAGAACCAAGCGGAGACAUGAGGGUUGGCUUCACAUCUGCUGGUCGGGGGCUAGUGUCUCGGGAUGGACACCUGUCCGUUUGUAAGAACCUGCUUUAAACGGUCCUACAAGGGGAGUCCUUACGCUCAACUAAAGAAGAUCUUUAAAAUUAACCGAGAUAGAUCGAAAAGCACAUUCAUUAUCUCAUCAUUGUUGAUUGGGAUGACGAUUCAAAAACUCUUAUAUAUAACGCAUAUUUCAGAGACGGCAGUUUGUGUUGACGGUUUUUAAAAUGACAUAUAUUUUUUUAUUUUUACAUUUUUUUACGGAUUACCAUUUAUGUAAAAUAAGACUUUUUCUGGCUGUUAACACUAAAAUUUAUGUGACCUUAAGGAAAUGAAACGUUUUAAUCUAUUAGUCAUAGUGGGGUUUACCCAAAAUAAUGCAGAUUUCUAAGUGUAUAUGUACAUAUAGGUAUUUCAGCACUGGGCAUGUAUGAAGGUAUUUUUGCUCCAGCUGUAUAUAAUGGUAUUUGGAUGCUUGUUGAUGUCAUUCAGGCGUGGGACUGCCUAUUUCAGGUCCUGGUGUAUGUGGAGAUAUUCUUUUCAGUGUAGAUGUGUUUGGAGGUAUUUAUGGUGUAGAUGUGUAUGGAGGUAUAUCAUUUGUGUAUUAUUACUGAGAUAUUUUGGGUUUGAUGCAUAUAGGGAUAUUAUAAGGGUAUGCGUGUAUGGGAAUUUUUCAGGUGUACAUAUUACUGGAGAUCUUUGAGCUUGAUAUCAAUUUUUUUUCAGGUCAGUGAAUAUUAUGUUUUAGUCAGUCAUAAGGUGUUAGGAAGGGUGAUUUUGUGUUUUUAGCAAAAGACAACGUUUCCCAUGAAUUCAAGUAUGAAGAGCCCAUUCCAUGGAUACACAAGAAAAUGUCAUGGACUAUAUCGUAAUAACUAAUUUGCUUUUAGUAAUUUAUUUUUUGCUAAAAAGAUGAAAGCAAAUACAGCACUGAAACCAAAAGGUGAUAUAGGGAUAUAUAUACAUUCUAGUAGCCAUUGUUGUGUAACUGAUUCAAAAACAGACAGUUUUUUGACAGUGCAUAAACUUCAAAUGUUCUUUGUUGUCCCUUAUUAGAUGCACCACUAUUCAUAUUAUUUAGAAUUCAGUUUUCAUUUAAUAAUUGUGCUCCUGUAUAUAUAAUUACAUUUAUUUUAUUCAGUAGACACUUGUUUAAUGUGUUGUACAAGUGAGGAAUAUAAUAUAUUUUGGUAAUAGUUUAAUGUAUUGGAGUCAGUUUCUGCUCGAGUACCCAAUGCAUAAAAAUGGACACAUAUACAGAUAUUGUUUUAAUGUUAUGCUAAAGACACACUAUAAUAUGAUCUAUACAUUUUGAAGGAUGGUGUAUCCUGCUUGUGUGACAGGAUUCCCCAGGGCACUUGUGCACCUGCACACAUACACACAGUCACAAACCAGGACCAGGAGGAAACCCACCCAACAGUGGGGAAGAUAUAUAAACCUCCACACGCAGCUGAGGCCAAAUUCAGCCGCCGGCUGCUCUGGACGUGACAGGCAGUCCAGUGAAGCCACAGCAUCACCUUAUAGUCAGAUAUCUAUAAACAGAAUUUGGCCAGCCGGCACAUACAGAUCUCACGCUCCUUAUCAAUACGGAUCACUGCGCCACACAUAAUAUAUUAUUCAUGCUAAAUCUCACCAGCAAAACACACAGAUGAUGUAAACGAUGUGCCCGUAGUUAGUAUGUUUUUCAUGGAAGACAUACUAUGGACAGGACUCUGGUGUGCUUGUGUGUGCGCACGCGUGUGUGUAUGUGUGUGUCUCUGCGUGUCAACAGGAGAGACAAAUAGGUCUUAAGAAGCUCCAUUACAAUCAACCUUAGCCUGAACUUUAGCACAGUGACUCUCAGCUGACUUAUAAUUCACCCUUUAUUUUGCAGAGCGAACCCCUGUAUGGGAAGCAGGAAAUUCAGCAGGACCUUAUCACCGCCUUCUGCUUGCCCUCGGAGCUAGAGGCCCAGUGCACCAGGGUCGCCAACACCCUGCGCUGAGUAACCCCCCCCCCCCAUAUUCGUAAGGAAUUAAAGACUUAACUUUCUAAAUCAAUUUCAAGAAACACAAACGAGAAGAGAUGCCUAACAAAAUUAAUUGUGCCUUCAUACACCUAAAACACAAAAUUAAAUAUGUUAAAUCAUGAAAAGGUAUUAUAAACAAAUGUUAAAAACUAAUAGUGGAAGCCUGGGAUAUUUAAAACUAUUUCAAAUUGAGUUUUAUGUUUAAUUUUUUUAUUUUUAUAAUGAUGAUGUAGUUUUACCUGUUUUUUUUUUUACUGGAACUGCUGGGGUUUGUGGAAAUAACAUGGGAUGGUGUGUUAUUUCAUUCUGAUAUAAUGAGUGAACUUCCCAAAAAGACUAUUUACUGUUCUUCGCCCAUUCAGCAUUCAUUGAUAUCGCUUACAAUCAAAGCAAACAGGAUUCUGGUUUCGGUCCACAAAGACCCCUGGCUUUCUGCCCAAAUACGGUAUCAUUUGUUCAAAGUUACUUUAAGUUUCAGAGUAGCAUCAUGACCCCGGGACGCCUAUGGGCGCGAAGCUUGCGACUGUAGGAUGCAGCUGUGCUUCAUUCAUGUCAUCAUUCUGCCGGCAGAGCAGAGCUUCAUCGGAGUGCUGCUCUCCCUGCAUGAUGUGCUCUUUCUGGUGGCACCCCCCCCCCCCAAAAAAAAAAAGAGUCUGAGUUAUUGUCUCCCAGCACCACACCUGUGCAGCAAUGUGAUACGAUCACACCUGUCAUCUCCAGCACUGAUGCUGCCUGUGAUACAUUUUGCAUAGAAGUUUGCUUUAGUGCCGUCACCGUACGCAGAGAGGGUACCAGGAAGGCUGGAAUUAGUGAUGGGGAAAAAAGAAUCCAUAAGCAAUAGAUUCCAUCUCCAUCCUGCAUGGAAUCACUCCACGCCAGUAAUCCAUCGCCUGUUGCUUUAUAGUGAAGGUGAAGGACAAUGGAGGAGGCUACACCUCCCCACCCCACGAUCGCUUUCCAGGGAACUUGCAAAUAAUACAACAUCGAUGUUAGUGCAUCAUUUACGUGACACGAGCAAAGGCCGUCACCCUCCCCCGCAUGUUCACUGUUGAGCAACCUCCAUUCUUAGCGGUCUCCUGCCACUUAGUGCACGUGAUCAUUGUUCACUUAUCGUAAAUGCUUUAACGUUAUAACGUGACAUAAGGGUGCCUGUGAUUUGUCACAUGUAUUAUUUUUUAUGUUGUAGGGGUUGGGUGAUUUUAUUCAUUUAUAUUAUUAUUAUUAUUAUCUUUAUUUGCAAUAUUAUUUUAUUUUCGUUUGGUAAGACCAAAACAGAACUGACAAAAGUGUUGAGUCUGUGCCGUUUGUCGUGCUCGUUAUGCUCUGAGCUUGAAGAGUUUCUAGAAGAACACGGAAACCAAUGAUGCCUGACUGCUACAGAGCUGCAUGCUUUCCUAAGGCUUUUCUGUGGUAUGCGUGGUGUCUAAAGCAGGAUUCAUAUUUCCUAUAACUGUUGUUUCGAGGUACGUUGUUAUGCUACAAACUGUAAUGAAACAGAAAUGAGCCGUGGGCUCCUAGAUCAGUAUGCUGGGCCAUUGGCUGCCACUCUUGCCUUGCCUUUGUCUUCGCUGCAUUUCCACCCAGGUGUUGUGCCAUCCUCACCGUGCUGGGCACUGCCCAUACCCCCCAGCAGGGCGGAGCCGUCCAGCUGUUCCGCCCUCUCUGGCUGCCCCAGUCAUCAUAAACGUUUGUUGAAGGUGGAGUGCUUUUCACACUGCGGGCAAACAGAAAGAACAAAGUAUGGCUGGUACCACAUCCUCAGAAACGGAAAGCCGCGCUGACGGCAACGUCUUCUGAUGGAAAGUGUUACCUGGUCGCGUGUGAGACACUGCAGCAGAACUGGCAGUUUCCUCGAGGUUUCUCCCUAAGGUGAAGUCAUGCCAGACGCAUCGAAAGCUUCAGGGAGGCCUUUGAUGGAACACAAGGCCUUCAAGGCUUUUCCAUUUUUGCGUGAAAGACUUUUCACACAGAAACAUCCACCUAAUCGAUAAUUAGAAAUACCGGCAAAUCAGCAGGAAGAUGUUUCACAUGAAUGUUCCAAAACCAGCAAGCAAUAUUAAUGGAUUAUUAACAUCCACAAUGCUGGUUUUAUCUGUUUAUCUAUGUAUUUGUUCAUUACAUUUUGGUAGAAAUGCUGAUACAGGAUUUGAUUUGUCUUUUAUUAAUGGUGAUACAUUGGCAGGCACAGUGACGUCAGUGAGUUACUUAACCAUUUGGCUUGGUUGCCAUGCGUGAUAUAAGAUUUUCGCUCUUUCUCUUAUCAGCCCAUUUGUUAAUGAUUAAUUUAUUUGCCGAGAGAAUAUAUUAGGAAUGUGUUUUUUUUUCUUAAAAACACAAAUGUUAUAUUUUGGUACAGAUAUACAAAAAGACAAAGAGCAGAUUGUCUCUACAAAUGUUAUGUAAUUACAUGAAUGCGAGAAUACAUUUAUUCAUGAACCAGACAAUUUUUAACGUCUCAACAUAAUUGUUGGUUUUCGUUAGAUCUGUCGCAUUGUUGUACGCAGAUAUGCAGGAGCUAUAGGCAGCUCCAGAUUUCACAUCUUUGUCGAAACAUGAUCUUCCAUGUUUGCCUUAUGUUCAAGCCCCAUAUCUGGUCACAGAAUCUGCAGAAUGUUCGCUAACGUUAACUAACACCGGCCUGCUUUCUGUGGUCUAGACGGUCCAUUGUGAAAGACACACUGUAAACGGAGAGGCGCUGAAAGUGCACACAGCUUCAGAGGAUCCUGGGGAGGAGGAAGAGGAGUUUGAAAGGCAAGAGGCUCACGCUUAUUUGUAUACGUGGGUUUCAGGACGUAUAGCUAGGCCUUGAUUAGCGUAAGCGAAGUCCCCGACUCAAAAACAAUCUGCACGCCUGAAACAAUCUGUUCAGUUCGAAGACAUGCCAGAUAUGUCUGACUGAAAAUCAAGACACAUUUGCGAGUUUUAAUGACUCCCUUCGCCUAACCCGUCAGCAUCUCCAUAAUGUGCAGCUAGUGGACACUAGGUGAGUGAUGAAUGAAAGACAGACACCAUUUCAUCAGUCACUGGUUGUAACUUAAUUGUUCCCAUAUUAGAAAACAUUUUCCUCUUUAAAAAGUCUCUGUGUUUUGACGUUUAAAAGACUAUUGCCAGAUGUAGUCAAUUUUGUAAUUUCAUUGUAGUUGGACAAAGCCUUCUUUGAACAAAAAAAAAAAAACAACCAAAAAAAAAACCUCUCAUCUGUUGUUAGAACUAAGUUCACAGUCAUCAGUUACUUGAGUUCUGAAACUAAUUGUUAUAAUCAUUAACAAGGGAUAUUAUUUUUAGUGGAAAAAAAAUAUCAAGGCAUUUUAGCUGAAAUGAGUUUGCUCUUUUGAGAAAUUGGCUGUAGGUCACAUGGUGUGACAGUCAGGCUUCAGCUGACAGCUUAUUCGCUAAACCGGACUGCCAGGUACGCUGUCCUCCGCCAUUCCAGAGAAUGUGUGCUUUGACUACGGAGCUGAUGAGGAUCUGUAAACUGAGACGGGAAUCGCACACUUAAAAGCGCGCCCUGACAAAUCUCCUCAACAUACAUACCAGAAAAUAACAUAAAUGCAGUUGUUAAAAAUGCAUGCAACAUUUCCGCUGUUGUGUAAGCAUGAAUCACAGAUGUUAAAAUAGCGAUCAUUAUAAUAAAUAAUACUAACUUAUGAAGGAUAAUAUUUCUAAAGCCAAAAUUGUUUGUAGAUGUGUACUGCAGGCUCUGCUUUGAAUCAGUUCUGCUCCUGUUAUCAAAUUUAAAGUCAUCUCUCAUAACUGUCAGUCAGAAGUUCAGCCUGUGCCUCUCAGACUCCACACUUGCUGGAGGAUGAGGUGUUCUUGAGUUCCCUCACCCAUCCCUUUGUCAAGCCGGCAUUGUCUUCAUCUUUUUCAGACCCAGCGUCAUCAUGAAAUAGGUCUGCCUCUUUUUUUUGGUAUUUGUUACCCUUUUCUGUCUCUUUGUGAACUGAAGCCAGACAGUGAGCUGGUGUUAGAUGACAUUAAGGCAGGGGACACAGAAUGCAGGGCAUCUUCCUGUGGAGCUCAGGGUGAUUGCAGUGGCAGCUGCCAGAAAAUGCAUCCCUCAAAUAUUAAUUUACCUGCUUACAAAAUAGAAAUAGGGCCCAUUUCAUCAGUAUAAUUGACUGGGGGAGACCAAAGCCAGACUUCUGCAGAUAGACCGGUGUUUCCCAAUCCGGUCCUCAGGAACUCGCAGACAGUCCACGUUUUUUCUCCCUCCCAGCUUCUUGCCAGUCCAGAGGGAGCAAAAAUGUGAAUGUCGGGCAGGGAGCUGGGAGGGAAAAAAAACGUGGACAGUCCGUGGGUCCCCGAGGACUGGAUUGGGAAGCACUGCAUUAGACUCAUUUCCUUGAUUACAAAAAGCAUCCUAACCUCACUACAAAAUGAGAAAACUAUCUAAUUAUUAGUCAAUUAAUCAGUCAAUACUUAUUUAUAAAGAGCUAGAGUGCUGUACCGGAUACAUGUAUAACAUUUCACUUAUCAAACAUUUUGAGGCACACUGUCUAUGGUGGGAAGCUGUCCUGGUAGAUAUAUAUAUAUAUAUAUUCAGCAAGAAAUACAUAGAAUAAUACUUUACUUUAGGGGGCACAAGUAACUUAGUAACUCAGUCACUACUCAAGUACAGUUCAAUAAAAAUAUGGACUGUUAUGAUUGAUUAAUGAUGAAUGAAUUUAUAUAUUAAGAGUGCACUACUACAUUAUUUGUGUCCCCUAGAGUAAAGUGUUACCACAUUUUUAAAUAAAUGAAAACAAGUAUGAGUUAAAUGUGUAAUAAGCACGGGGAUAAGCAGUCUGCAGUGACGCAGUGUGACUGUCCAUCACUGCGUGGCUUCAAAGACCUGGGCUCACGCUCCUCAGCGUUGUGCCAGCCCCGCCUCCGUGUCACUGCCGAGUUAAUGAUAAUAACAGAAAAAACUUGGAGUUAUUGGUGACGAUAAGGCAGAGAAAGAAGCCCAUUGUGCAUGCGAUGAAAGGCUCAUUGCUUGCUGCAAAGAUGCCAGGGUCAACCACGUCAAGAAUGUGUGCACCUAAUCUUCUGCUGAUCUUUAUCUGACUGACCCAGGCCAAAGUGGAGGUCUGAUGGAUGGACAAUGAGCCCUUGCGUUGUCCGGCAUGCCAUAGGAUGGCCUUCCAUAGCUACACGUCUAACUAAAACGUAGCUAUAUCUGUAUCUUGCUUUUUAAUAUUUUUCUUUUACUUCUGGCAGUUUCUGGAGUGACACAAUACAACGUUAAACGUGGGUGUGUUAAAGAGUGAAUAACUGAAGAAACACAAUAAAAUAUGGACUAACAAAUCACGGCGCGGAAUGUGGAAAGUAAACGAUUCACAUUUUUGCAGCUGUUCAGAAUGUACAUUAUUUACAUUACAGGCACUCAGGUUUGGAAAUAGAUAAAGCUGUGCAAUACUAUAAAUGUAUGGCAGUGUGUCACUUUUGGGAAUCGGGCAGAAGCCUGGAAUGUCCGAAAGCGGCUGCGGCCCGAGCACUCCUGGCCUCAGUACCGUCGCUGGCGUGUCCUGCCCACAGAUCGGGUUCCAGCGGUCACGGUCAGAACCCUCCCGCCUCUGAAAAUGAUAAUCUCCAGUGGCUAUCGGUGGCAUUUAAAAGGUUAAGCAGAUAAACGGCUGUUGUCAGAGCCGUCAUAAAACAAGACAAAUUGUAAUUUAACAGUGGGGAAACCUGAGCCGGCCCACUUUCUUCCCGGGGGUCCUUACGACACAGAUACACAGAUGUUCCCAGGUGUGCGCCCCCCCCCCCAGUACAUGGUGACUCACGCAAAGAGCACCGGGGUAGCGCCGCUCCUCCAGGUCCCCCUUAUCUGAAAUCAAACGCUGCGGCCCUCCCUCUCCCAGUCCUCCACGGCGAACAAACGCCGAUGUGUGGCUGCUUACGUCCCCGACAAAGGCCUGAUAUUUUAUACCCAACGGACCUGAAUAAAACCUGAUAUCGUGACAUUUGUGUUUGGCACGUCCCCGGGUACUCCACACUGCGAUGCUGUGCCACCUGCCACAUUAUUGGGCUCUUCUUUUAAGCACUAGUGCAAAAGAAAAAUAAAGAACAGCCCAAAAAAAUCAAAUGGAUAGAUAACUUAUUUAACGGGACACCCGCUUUCAUAAAAGUGUGCACUUUUCAGCAUGACAGCAAUGAGUAACUUAAUAAAAAUAAAUUUGCUUCUGGGGUCAUUAGUUGCCCAUAUUUGACAAUCAGUAAUUAAAGGCAGAUGGAAAUUACUUUAUCAAAACCAUUGAAUCUCUCAUCGCUUAAAAAAUGAAUAGAGAACAGAAACUCUGAAAUAUUAUGAAGUACAUCAAAUAGCUUGGCGUCCCAUGACCUUGCAGACAUAUUAGAAACAUUAGUUUAUGAAAUUGAGCAGAAUUUUAGCCUCAGUUUAAUUUCACCAACAGUAUUAAUAUACUGAUGUUCAGCUGUCAUACUCAGGUAUAUAUCAAAUUGUCAUCAUUGAGUUUAAAUGUCUGUUUAUUGUGAAUUCUGCAGCCUCAACUCAUAACAAAAUCAUUCCACAAACUGAGCGAUUCUUUGUUCUGUAGUAUGAAAAUACUGAUUUUACAAAUAUUUAAGAGCUGAAUUAAAAAAGUUAUUGAAAGUC